UCGGCGGGCCGAGGGAUGCGCGCAGCUGUCCCCGCGAGAGGCGCGGCGCACAGGUGCUCGGCCUCCCGCCCCGAAGUCGCAGGGAAGCUGCCGCACCGACACAGAACAUUUUCUGACUCUGGUCUAGAACACGCGUCAGCAUGAAUCAGCGCUUCUGUUAGUACACCUCCACGACCAUGAAGAUAGAGCCACUUUCACAUCCUCAAGUCACAGAGCAGAAAGCUCCCAGUUAAACCACAGCGUUCCAUUAAACGUUGCCACCCGUAUUCAAAAGCCCAUUUG